GUGAGUAACACGUGGGUGAUCUGCCCUGCACUUUGGGAUAAGCCUGGGAAACUGGGUCUAAUACCGAAUACACCUCUUGGGUUGCAUGACUCUUGGGGGAAAGCUUUUGCGGUGUGGGAUGGGCCCGCGGCCUAUCAGCUUGUUGGUGGGGUGAUGGCCUACCAAGGCGACGACGGGUAGCCGGCCUGAGAGGGUGUCCGGCCACACUGGGACUGAGAUACGGCCCAGACUCCUACGGGAGGCAGCAGUGGGGAAUAUUGCACAAUGGGCGCAAGCCUGAUGCAGCGACGCCGCGUGGGGGAUGACGGCCUUCGGGUUGUAAACCUCUUUCAGCACAGACGAAGCGCAAGUGACGGUAUGUGCAGAAGAAGCACCGGCCAACUACGUGCCAGCAGCCGCGGUAAUACGUAGGGUGCGAGCGUUGUCCGGAAUUACUGGGCGUAAAGAGCUCGUAGGUG
rnacentral:rRNA from 1 species